GAAGCAAUCAAACCAACAAAAUGUUUCUUAGAAAAAUGUAAAAUGUUAUUUUUGAGGAAUAUUUGCUGAUUGAAUAGAAUAAUUGAAGUCUAUGAAUAUGCCCAAACAACAUCUGUUACCUUACUAAUAACCUUUGCUCUUUUCCACUGUCCUCUAACUUUCUGCUGUCUUUUUUCUCUCUCUCUGCUUUCUAGUUGAGUCAGCCGUCUCUGUGCCCGGAGCUGCUGUUCUUUCUCUGUAGUUUACUGAGUAUCCGGCUGAGAGCUCUGUGCUGGGCACCAGAAAGCCUCCAUUACCUCCCCUCACCUAUCACAGAGAGAGACUGUUUGAGCCAACUACAUGCACACUUGAAGAACCGAGCUCAACUGGAUAAAGCACAUUACGAGAUCUCAUCUAUCGACUUGGUGAGAAUGGUGCCUUCGUACCUUCAUUGAUCUUGGGGUGUUGAUUGAGGACGGGCAGAGAGAAGAUGUGUAUCUAGAUAUCGGCCCUCUCUUCUCUGUGGUGUGCGCUCACAAAGAGAAACUCUUGCAGUUUUUCAAACAGUUCAUGUAUAACUGAAAGAGAAAAGUACAUGUUUUGAAGAGAAGUCAGUCUCAGCUGGAAAUGAUAACCGUAAGCACUUCUGAAAUUCCUCUUCAGUUUUUCAGUGUUGUGUAAAUCAUUAAUUAUGAAUGCUUUUCUGUGUUUAUACAUCUGUUUUGCUGAGAGCACUUGCUUUUAAAAAACAAUGUGAUGCCGAGGUUGCUUUUUUUGUUAGGUUUUGUUGUUGAGAGCCCAGAAUUGGUUUGGUUAUUGGUUGGAUGAUGACUAUUCCGAUAGUUAGAUAAUGUUCUCUUCUUUAUAAAGAGCAGAUAAUUUUUUUUUUUUUUUUUUGAUUGUUUCGUUUAUUAUUAUUCUUUUGUUUAACUGUAAUGAAAAUGUAAUGGGCUUUGUUCAGUACACAAGUGUCUGAUAACUGACCCAGUUGCAGUGUUUCUGUCAUGGUUGAUUUAUAGUUUAGCCACACAGCACAGCAUA